rnacentral:lncRNA from 1 species
AUGGUCAGUGGUGGCUCCCACUGCAGGGGAUGUGCAGAAAGGCUGGAGUCCAGCAGCAGUUCAGCGGAUGAGGUACAUCAGAUGGCUCGCCCUGUCAGCCAGAGGCUCGGGGACUUUCCUGGGGCUACACCUCUCCAGAAGUUUGAAGAUAACCAUUCAAUGCUCCUCAUAUUUCUGACAACCAAGAACUUUGGAAGAAUUUCUGCCCUCAGGCACUCUUAUUUCUGUGUCCAGAUUGGCCUUCUUCCAAACUUACCAGAGACACCAGAGAAUGAAGUUGUCUGUGGAAGGCUACUGGACAAACUGGACCCAAGUUCACUGGACAUCUGAUAGAAAGGUCAAGAUGAUCCAAGCUUUGCUCUCAAGCUUGACAGGAAAAAAAAAAAAAAAAAACCAAACUGGAAUUUCUUCUUGUAUAAUGUGGGCUUGAAUUAAAGACAUUUUUCAGUCUGCAGGACCUUUGACCUUUGCUCUGAAUGGAACAGUCAUUGGGCAGGGCCAGGCUCUCACUUGCCAGGGAGGACAUACUAAUUUUGAGCCCUGUUCCUUCUCCAACACAAAACUGUGUUGACUUAGAUGAGCUACUCUGUCAGGGUACAGGGGGUUCUAUGUAGCAUUACCUGACCCUGCCUUGGAUGGUGAGUGCUAUAUGUUUAUGAGGAGAGAUUAUAUGAGAAUGAAAAGAAUGAACCUAAAUGGUGGCUGCUUUGUAUGUCUUGAAGAGACUGGGCCCUAGUUCUGGCAAGGACUUCUUACAUCUUGAUUUCAGGAGAAUAAAAUCAAAUCACAAAUCUAAACA